AUCCAAUCCCCAUGUAGCACCUUGUUGGUACUCCACCCUCAGGCCUUCCAUAUUCACUGUUCCCACUCUUCCUGUCCCCUAUCUCAAGCACCUGUGACCUUCUGCCCCAGAGCCUUUUUUGGCCACAAGAGCAUGUUUAGCCCUUCAGAGGGCAGGCCAGAAGGGCUGGAGAUAAUGCAGCCUUCUACCAAUGACAGAUGAGGAGUUGGUGGAUCAAUGCCGCAGCUGCCUUUCCCCGCAGCUGGGAUAACUAAAAGUUCCAUGGAAGGAAGCAGCAGGGACUGUGACAACUGUUGUAUUUUCAUACACCCAGCAAGGUGAAACAAACUCCUUUGUGAUCCCUGUAUUGAAAGACAAGACGAAU
rnacentral:lncRNA from 10 species